GGGAAAUCUUGCUCACGUUACUGAAUACAAUUGUUAGUCAAACGUAGAGGAAGUUCUAUAAAAGCUGAUGAUUGAAACUCUCAACUGAGAGAGGGGAGCUGUGUUCAAGUGUGUAUCUGAUGACUGGUUACAUAGUUAUCCAGACUAAAAACUUCAGCACAGAUUCAUGAACAUGAGUACAAUGAUAGUCACUGUUUCUAUAUGGACCAUAAAGCAUCACCAGUUUGAGAUCUCUGUUUUUCCCCCUCUUAACUCCAAUUUCUCAUUCAAACUCACUGCCUUUGAGUGAGGCUCCUGAGAGACUUCAGAAGUUCAUGGGUUCCACCUACCAAGAAAACAAUGAAUUGCUCUCUGAUUCUAUCUAUUUUUCUCAAUUGACUACUGGAAAGCCCGAGUAAUUAGCCUAAAUUUUUACAGAGGUAACCUUUUAUGAGAUGUGACUCACACCCUGGUCUUUUAAGAUUCUUCUUUUCUUCUAAUUCUUGACUUUUUUUUUUUAUAGAAGAGUAAAAUAGUUUUCUUCCCAUCUCUGUCUCCAUGGAGGUUACUGGUAGAUGGAAAUGAGACUAUCCCUUUUUAAGUCAUUAUUGAACAAGUAAUAUUGAGAUCAAGUCAGCAUCUUGCAAGAACUGUGACAGCAGUGUCAUCACCGUGUUCUCUAUCAAAUCCCUCCCGAAAUCCCUUCAGCUGCUUUGGUGGAUGGAGUUCUGACAGUUGAGACAAUGUGACCAGUCAUCAUGGAAUCUGUCCCAGCAUCAUGAAGACUUUGAUGCUUUGUUGGUUUGGAUUUUAGGAGUGGAAUACAGGGCUGGUACUUAUUCUGUGUGCCUUUUCUCUGAGUUUUAGGGUUCUCUCCAUCUUCACUUAAGCCAUGACCAUGGAAAUUUUUCUUUCUCAGCACUUCCACCCACCAAAGACAGGUGGAUAGAGGCUGAAGUUGUUCUGUUGGACCAGGAGUCUUUAUCUUUGAUAGCUGUGUUGCGGAGUGGGAUAUGCUGAAGGGAACACAUUCUAGCACUUGGUUCUAGGAUGGAGAAAUUCUUCCAAUCCCGUCUUCUGUUUCAGAGACAAUCCUCCUGCAUUACAUUUUCCUCUUGUUAAAAAACAGUCGCUUUAAGCUGUAGUCAAGAUAUUGAUGUCUUGUAUUUAUGACCUGAACUUAUUCUAUGAUGGCUGCAUAGGGAGUCCCUGCUGUCUAAAUGAAGUCAUUACUUGGGAACCACUGAAUGAAUGACCUCAUAACUUUAAGUCAGCCUGAAGAAGCAUAUCGAGGUAGAAGGUUUCUGUCAUACCUCUAAAUUUUUCAUCCAGUAUUAAUUUGAAAGAUGGCAUAAAAACAGAAUAAAAGAAGACUGUAAUUUUCUUGACUUCAGAUUCAUGCUCUUCAGUUGCCUAAUUACAGGCUGAUAAUUUAUUAUCAGAUCCAGAAGAGAAACAAUAGGUGCUCUUGUACAAAUUUUCUGUGACAUGAGACUUUGAAUGUAUCAAACAUAGAGUUAAAUGCCUUACCAGGUAUGGUUAGAAGACAGCGGUGCUUAGGAAAAUACUUUAUUUGCAGGACUUUACAGACUGGAAGAGCUGGGGGUGUUCAGCCUGGAGAAGAGAAGGCUCAGAGGUGACCACAUAGUGGCCUUUCAAUAUAUAAAGGGGAGCUACAAGAAAAAAAAGAGGACAGAUCCUUUAGCAAGGUCUGUGGUGACAGAACAAGGGGAAGAGUCUUCAAGCUUAUAGAGGGCAACUCUGCCUCUUUUGAAGCUGCUCUGUGAAGUGCUUUACUAUCUGACUACCACAAUACCACACUUGAGUUUAUUUACUUUGUGGGAAAAGUAUUGCACCAAAAAAGGAAGAGAGAAGGCCUGUGGUUGGAUUUAAAUCAAUGUGCUUUGCUUUGGAGGACUACAUGGGUUGAUUACAGCACACACAGGAGUGACUUCAUGCUGUGUAGGUCCCUUCUAGCUGAACUAAGCCUACUGUAUCCUCCUGUCCUCUCUUCUCCUCUCAUCUUCGUGGCCCUUUGCUGGACUCCAAGGAG